rnacentral:lncRNA from 1 species
GUCUGCAGCAGCAGUAACACUGUCUCUCUCAGAUUUUUUUUUUUCCAUCUCUCUGGCUGUCCUGGAAAGCAGUGCCCCUGAUGCUUGGUUUCUUUGGGACAAUGUCACAGGUGGACCAAUAUUUUAUUCAAAAUAUGCUAUUGUGAAAAGCAAACCAGAGUGAUUUGCCACAUGCAACAAGGAGAACCCAGAAGUAUACAA